rnacentral:rRNA from 1 species
ACCGCUGGCGGCGUGCCUAAUACAUGCAAGUCGAGCGAACAGAAGGGAGCUUGCUCCCGGAUGUUAGCGGCGGACGGGUGAGUAACACGUGGGUAACCUGCCUGUAAGACUGGGAUAACUCCGGGAAACCGGAGCUAAUACCGGAUAGUUCCUUGAACCGCAUGGUUCAAGGAUGAAAGACGGUUUCGGCUGUCACUUACAGAUGGACCCGCGGCGCAUUAGCUAGUUGGUGGGGUAAUGGCUCACCAAGGCGACGAUGCGUAGCCGACCUGAGAGGGUGAUCGGCCACACUGGGACUGAGACACGGCCCAGACUCCUACGGGAGGCAGCAGUAGGGAAUCUUCCGCAAUGGACGAAAGUCUGACGGAGCAACGCCGCGUGAGUGAUGAAGGUUUUCGGAUCGUAAAGCUCUGUUGUUAGGGAAGAACAAGUGCGAGAGUAACUGCUCGCACCUUGACGGUACCUAACCAGAAAGCCACGGCUAACUAC